rnacentral:tRNA from 1 species
GGUCUUUAGCUCAGUUGGUAGAGCAUUUGUCUUACAAACAAAAGGUCAUCGGUUCAAGCCCGGUAAGGCC